CAAGUCGAACGGUAACAGGAAACAGCUUGCUGUUUCGCUGACGAGUGGCGGACGGGUGAGUAAUGUCUGGGAAACUGCCUGAUGGAGGGGGAUAACUACUGGAAACGGUAGCUAAUACCGCAUAACGUCGCAAGACCAAAGAGGGGGACCUUCGGGCCUCUUGCCAUCAGAUGUGCCCAGAUGGGAUUAGCUAGUAGGUGGGGUAACGGCUCACCUAGGCGACGAUCCCUAGCUGGUCUGAGAGGAUGACCAGCCACACUGGAACUGAGACACGGUCCAGACUCCUACGGGAGGCAGCAGUGGGGAAUAUUGCACAAUGGGCGCAAGCCUGAUGCAGCCAUGCCGCGUGUAUGAAGAAGGCCUUCGGGUUGUAAAGUACUUUCAGCGGGGAGGAAGGGAGUAAAGUUAAUACCUUUGCUCAUUGACGUUACCCGCAGAAGAAGCACCAGCUAACUCCGUGCCAGCAGCCGCGGU
rnacentral:rRNA from 1 species